rnacentral:rRNA from 1 species
GACGAACGCUGGCGGCGUGCUUAACACAUGCAAGUCGAACGGUAAGGCCCCUUCGGGGGUACACGAGUGGCGAACGGGUGAGUAACACGUGAGCAACCUGCCCUUGACACUGGAAUAACAGUUGGAAACAGCUGCUAAUGCCGGAUACGACCUUCGGUGGCAUCACCUGGAGGUGGAAAGUGAUUCAGCGGUCAAGGAUGGGCUCGCGGCCUAUCAGCUUGUUGGUGAGGUAACGGCUCACCAAGGCUUCGACGGGUAGCCGGCCUGAGAGGGCGACCGGCCACACUGGGACUGAGAUACGGCCCAGACUCCUACGGGAGGCAGCAGUGGGGAAUAUUGCACAAUGGGCGCAAGCCUGAUGCAGCAACGCCGCGUGCGGGAUGACGGCCUUCGGGUUGUAAACCGCUUUCAGUUCCGACGAAGCGCAAGUGACGGUAGGAACAGAAGAAGGACCGGCCAACUACGUGCCAGCAGCCGCGGUGAUACGUAGGGUCCGAGCGUUGUCCGGAAUUAUUGGGCGUAAAGGGCUUGUAGGCGGUUUGCCGCGUCGGAAGUGAAAACUCAGGGCUUAACCCUGAGCCUGCUUCCGAUACGGGCGAACUAGAGGAAUGCAGGGGAGAAUGGAAUUCCUGGUGGAGCGGUGGAAUGCGCAGAUAUCAGGAGGAACACCGGUGGCG